rnacentral:rRNA from 1 species
GAGUUUGAUCCUGGCUCACAACGAACGCUGGCGGCAGGCUUAACACAUGCAAGUCGACCGCACCUGCGGGUGAGCGGCGGACGGGUGAGUAACGCGUGGGAAUAUGCCUCUUGGUACGGAAUAGCCACUGGAAACGGAGAGUAAUACCGUAUGUGCCCUUUGGGGGAAAGAUUUAUCGCCAAGAGAUUAGCCCGCGUUGGAUUAGGUAGUUGGUGGGGUAAUGGCCUACCAAGCCGACGAUCCAUAGCUGGUUUGAGAGGAUGAUCAGCCACACUGGGACUGAGACACGGCCCAGACUCCUACGGGAGGCAGCAGUGGGGAAUCUUAGACAAUGGGGGCAACCCUGAUCUAGCCAUGCCGCGUGUGUGAUGAAGGCCCUAGGGUCGUAAAGCACUUUCGCCUGUGAUGAUAAUGACAGUAGCAGGUAAAGAAACCCCGGCUAACUCCGUGCCAGCAGCCGCGGUAAUACGGAGGGGGUUAGCGUUGUUCGGAAUUACUGGGCGUAAAGCGCGCGUAGGCGGAUUAGUCAGUCAGAGGUGAAAUCCCAGGGCUCAACCCUGGAACUGCCUUUGAUACUGCUAGUCUUGAGUUCGAGAGAGGUGAGUGGAAUUCCGAGUGUAGAGGUGAAAUUCGUAGAUAUUCGGAGGAACACCAGUGGCGAAGGCGGCUCACUGGCUCGAUACUGACGCUGAGGUGCGAAAGUGUGGGGAGCAAACAGGAUUAGAUACCCUGGUAGUC